rnacentral:rRNA from 1 species
UUGACCUCGGAUCAGGUAGGACUACCCGCUGAACUUAAGCAUAUCAAUAAGCGGAGGAAAAGAAACCAACAGGGAUUGCCCCAGUAACGGCGAGUGAAGCGGCAACAGCUCAGAUUUGGAAUCUGGCCCCCAGGGCCCGAGUUGUAAUCUGGAGAGGAUGCUUCUGGCGCGGCGCCUUCCGAGUUCCCUGGAACGGGACGCCGGAGAGGGUGAGAGCCCCGUACGGUUGGACGCCUAGCCUUUGUGAAGCUCCUUCGACGAGUCGAGUAGUUUGGGAAUGCUGCUCAAAAUGGGAGGUAAAUUUCUUUUAAAGCUAAAUUCCGGCCAGAGACCGAUAGCGCACAAGUAGAGUGAUCGAAAGAUGAAAAGCCCUUUGAAAAGAGGG